rnacentral:lncRNA from 1 species
ACAGAGAAAAAACAAUGUAAUUCAAUAACAUGAAUAUGGUCAUAGUAACAUUAAAAUAGGGUAUUUUAAUGAUAAGAUAUUGGGUUGCCUGAAUUUAUAGAGUACAAUGUUUGUUUUCUAGAAUUACUAUGCAAUUUUGUUAACCAUGAAUUUAAAGUGUAUAUUUUUAUCUAUUGCAAUAUUUCAUAAACAUAUAAAAUGUAUCAUUUUCAUUACCUAUUUUUCUUGAGAUGGAAUCAAUUACCAUAUUUUUCACAGAAGAAUCAUCUGGAAUAGUGCGGAUUUGAAAAAUGCAACCAUUUUGUGAGAUUAAUUAAUCAAAUCAAGCCCUACCAAUAUAUUAAUAAUAGAAUUUUUAACAAUGUGAUUCAAAGCAGUAUAAAUGGAAGUUAUCUCUUUAUUUCAUCAGAUUUGUAGUAAGUAAAACUAGGCAGCAUGACUGCCAAAUCAGCAGAAAGCUCUUUGGUUGACUGAGAAAUUCAAAGCAAGAGUCCUUCCUUGAGACUUGUUAACAUUUUAACCACUGUAAUUCAUGGGCAUGCUUAACCACCUUUAUUUCUAGAGUUGUCCAACAAUUUUGUCCAUGAAAAAAAAAUAUGUGGGCUGUUUAGAAGGCAGGAGACAAAACCUCUUCCUAUUUGCAAACAAGUAGUUCCACAGUGUUAUUUGAACUACUUUAAUUGUAUCCAUUGGAUUCACCAGACCCCAGAACUAAUCUUGUUCUUCUCUUCUAGGGGGGCUUUUAGGAGUCUUAAAUAAAUCUGUGGUGGCGGAUGAUAAAAGAAAGGCACACAUGAAUAUACUACUAUUAGGAUAAUAAGUGUAAAAUUUCUGCAAAAGGCAUUUUGUUGCGCACGACAAUAAAGAUAUGGAGCACACCAUGUGGGGAAAAAUUGUAGCAGUUUUCAAAAAUAUUUUUGCAAAUGCAACAGCCUCUGACAAGAUAAAUUAGCAAAGCAGACAAAGAAAAAUGACUAUAUUCACUGCAAAUCACUAUAUGCUUCUU